GACGGAAGGUGCAAGCGUUGCUCGGAAUCACUGGGCGUAAAGGGUGCGUAGGCGGCCGUGCAAGUCUGGCGUGAAAGCCCCGGGCUCAGCCCGGGAAGUGCGCUCGAAACUGCGCGGCUCGAGUGCCGGAGGGGAGAGUGGAAUUCCUGGUGUAGCGGUGAAAUGCGCAGAUAUCAGGAGGAACACCGGUGGCGAAGGCGGGUCUCUGGGCCGAUACUGACGCUGAGGAGCGAAAGCAUGGGGAGCGAACAGG
rnacentral:rRNA from 1 species